UACAGAGACUGCAAGCGUUAUUCGGAUUCACUGGGCGUAAAGGGUGCGCAGGCGGCCGUGUGUGUGAGGCGUGAAAGCCCGGGGCUUAACCCCGGAAUUGCACCUCAAACUACAUGGCUAGAGCAUUGGAGAGGGUAGCGGAAUUCACGGUGUAGCAGUGAAAUGCGUAGAUAUCGUGAGGAACACCAGAGGCGAAGGCGGCUACCUGGACAAUUGCUGACGCUCAGGCACGAAAGCCGUGGGGAGCAAAAGGG
rnacentral:rRNA from 1 species